UUGAUUUGAUAUAAAUAAAAAAGACCCUCACAAGUCACAACCUAUCUUCCUCCCUUGUAUUUCUCGGUUUCUCCAUCAACCUUUCUCUUUCUCUUGAAUUUGCACCUCGACACCUCUUUUUCACCGCUACCCCCUUCUCGCUCCUAGUGCUGCACUAUAGCCCCCGUUCACCGCAGCCUACCUCCAUCGCAACCUGUGCUCCAAACCAAAUAUGUAUAAAACACUCCGUGCUCCAGUGAUUGCCACCUCCAAAGAGGCAAAGAUAGCGAUUGGCACCUCUAGGCUUCCAUCAUCGGCGGCUUCUAUCUUAAAGUUUAGGUUCGGCUUCCAUCAUCGUUCCCUCUCCCUUUCCAUUAUUAACAAGAAGUUGAGUAGCUAACCUUAGGGUUUCAAUUCCUUCUCUCUAAUCGUUUUGAUGAUUUCUUAAAUUGACGUUUAAUUUGCCAUUUAACAUGUUUAAUUUCAUUAUUUUCAUACUCAAUUUUACAUGCAUCUGAAUUGGUUGAAGUAUUUUGAUGAAAUUGGGAUUUUUGUUUUUUCUUCUUUUCAUUUAUUGCUGAUUUGAUUUACCUUGUAAUUUAAUCUUUGUUGACUAAUCUAACCAAUUUAAGGUUUAUAUUUUUCUUUUCUGAAUUUAAUCUUCUUAAGUUUGUCAAGGAUCCAAGUAAUUGUGGGCAGAAAUCAAAGGCAAUGCUAGUUACAAUCGGAGGAAUAAUAUUUGAUGUUCAAUCUAAUGCAUGCCGCUAUUCCUGCUACUGUCAAAACCACCACUCUUAGGUUUGCUAUUUUAUUUUUAGUUUGAUUUUUUUAUAUAUUAAUCUCUAAUUAUUGAAUUGGGUUAAUUUUAUUUGUUUGAGUUAAUUAACAUUCUAGCGUCAAUACUUGUGUCAAGCUUUGACGAUGUUAGUCGAAUUAAGUGAUGGCUGAAUAUCUACAUUGAUUUAUGGAAUUCCUUGAUUUAUUGAAUUUGUAUUCUAGAAAUUUGAGAAAAUUUCCGAUAUAAUUUCAUAAAUUAUGGACUUAUGACAUUUUAGCUAUUAUUGACGAUGUCAAUUCUCUAUUUGAUAUAAAUGGACUAAUUGAUGAGCUUUUAGCAAACAAGAUCUUGAUGGUUUUUCUGUUAAUCCUGGUGAUUAUAUUGUGAAUUAUUUGUUGAUUUAUAUUUUUGACUUGGACAAUUGACAUUAUAGAAUGAGGUGACCAAUUUUAUAUAUGUGACCAAUUUUAGGUUUAUAUAUAUAUAUGACCAAUUUUGAGUUCAAAUCUUAUUGAAUUAGACUCACAUUUCAUUUCUACAAAGCAGUGAUGAAUGACACUUAAUGCAAGCAAAUCCAUAUUAGUUAGAUACAAGAGUAGAGCAGUCAAGACAGAGGUUGCAAAUAUAAUUAUGCAAUACCUUGACUAUUUGGUUAAUUCAUCGUGCCCUUACCUACAGUGGAUUGGUGAGCUUGGUGAUUUGUCUAUUUAGUUAAUUCAUCUUGCCCUUACCUACAGUGGAUUGGUGAGAUUGGAGGUAAGAGUUCAAUGUAGAUAAUUGAUUUGUCUUCAUGCCUUAAUUGUGUAUUCAACUCUCACAUUUGAAUUCAUAAAAAAGAGUUUUAUGAGGAAAGAAAAAAAGAGCAUUUAAAUUAAAUAAAACAAAGAUGACUUUAUACUUAAAUUACCCCAACCCCCCCCCCCCCCUUCUACGAAUAUAGAGAGCAUCUCUUGUUUGUUAUAUAUUUGCUAUUGACAAGUAAGUACUUCUAGAAAUUGUGAAUUUUAUAGCCUCUUUUGUAGUUCAAUGCUUGUCCUGGUGUAAGGGAUAUUUUACCUUAUAACUCCAAAUUAAUUGUAUAGUGGCUACAUACAUAUCAUGAAUCAUUGUACUUGUUCUUUAUAUAGCUCUUGUUUUUCUUUCAAACCUAAACUGUCUUAUAUUUUUAAGCUUUAUGAAUCAUGAAUUUCAUUCUAGACUUUUCCGUUAUCUUUUUGCCUUUUUUCUUUUGGUCAAGGUUUGGACGGACUAUGGACUAGUGGGAAUGUUUGAUACGUUGAGUAAAAGAAAGUGAUUAUAUUUUUUGAAACUAAUUUCUCAUUUUAUUUCUUUCCAUUUUUACAGUUUUGAUGCUUAUAUCUUCUAAAAAAAUUUCCACUUUUGGCUUAUAUUAAUUCUGUAAAUUUGAUGCUGCAGUUUUGAUGCUUAUAUUUUCUGGAAAUAAUCUUCAAAUUCCCACAGAUGAUUAGGAUCACAUAGUUUGUUAUUUGUAGCCUGACAACCUGAUAUUAGGUAUAGGUCGGAUGCCAGGGCUAUUUCCGACAUUAAUCAUAACUCUUAUGAUGCCAUAUUGCCAUGAGAACUUCCUUAAUGCAUGUGACUUGUUGAAAGUAUAUAUAAAGUCUACUCUUAUACUCUUAGUUCCAAUAUUCAUUGUAUAAUUUUUUACCAUUUGGGUUGUGAUAUCAAUAUUUUUAAUAGUCUCUUUCUUGCCAUUUAGAAAUUUAAUGUAGUAACAUUUAUUUUCUUUGUACUAUUUUCUUAAAACAAUUAUUUCUUGUUCUAGGGAGAUUGAAUGGUAUGACAAAGUAAAGUGUGAAAAGUAGCUGGGUUUCAGCAAGGGUUCUUUGGCAAGAAAGAGGGAAAGGAAUAUUGGCUGGUAAAAUAACAAUGGGUCUCCUCGUCUGUUUUUGUUAGAUAAAUAAAAAUUUUCUUUCUUUAUUUAUGUGUGGAUAUUGCUAAAGUGGAGUAAGAGAAAGUGGGAGAAGAAAAUGAAAUUGUGGUGUUGUUUGAUAACGGUAGUUCGUGAGUUGCUGCUACUCAAUUUGAGUGUUUAUGGGUAUGCUUUCUUUUCAUAUUUACUCUCAUUUAUAUUAAAUUUAGAGUCAAAAUUUCACAUACUUAUUAGACUCUAUUAUUGAUUUGGUUAUUUUGAUCUGGUUGUAUAGGUUAGGAUAUUUUGGAUUUUUAAAUGUUACAAGGCUUGGUUAAUGAUAGAUAAGUAUAUACUAACAUGAAUAAUUCUAUAAUUGGAAUGUUAUUUUUAGACAGUCGUGAAUAGAAAAAGAACGAUUAUGAAAAUUUUUCUAUUCUAUAUUUUGUUUGAAUUGAUGCAUAAAUUUUAUGUUCUGGGUUUUCUCUAGCAUAAUAACCCUACAUUAUUUUGUGUCCAGGAUCAAUAUGUUAGUUAAGGUCUCAAUUACUUAGCUCAUUAAUUUAUGUAUAUGUUUCUUGACCUCUCGUGCAAAUGAAGCUUUAAUGGCUGUCACAUUAUAUGUAGACAAUCAUUAUCCUGAAUAACCAGGUUAUACAGGGUUCAGUGUCGCCAAUGGAUCACGUAAGAAUGUAAGCAGUUGGUUCAGUGUCGCCAUUGGAUCAUGUAAGAAUGAACUCAACAUGGCUAAAGAUAGAACAUGUGCAACUCCUUAUAUGAGAUUGCAUUGGUGGAUCAUGUCUUUCUUUUCAUGAUGCCUUGUCUAAAGCAAAGAGUUGUAUGCUGCUGUUGCUGUCAUUGUUACUGCUGACUACUGCUGUUACGGUGAUCUGCUGUUGUAAUUGAUGUCUGCUACUACAACCGAGCUAGCUACAAGAUGCUACUGUCUUCAAUUAUUAAUGAUGUUUGUUUGCAACUACGCUGAUUGUGAUUUUGCCUAUUCUGUUUGGAAUUUGGUGGCAAAGUUGAUAUUUUAUUUUUAUUUUUUAUUAUUAGAUUGUUUAGCGAGAUAAAAAAUUGGUGUUUAUGGUUUUUUUUUGGAAGGAUAUAUGAAAUUUUAUCAA